UUAAUUGAAGCCAAAAUAGAGGCAAUUUACUGUUAAUAAAUGUAUUGACCUUAGGGUCCUAUUAAA
rnacentral:tRNA from 1 species